GACGAACGCUGGCGGCGCGCCUAACACAUGCAAGUCGAACGAGCGAGCGAGAGCUUGCUUUCUUGAGCGAGUGGCGAACGGGUGAGUAACGCGUGAGGAACCUGCCUCAAAGAGGGGGACAACAGUUGGAAACGACUGCUAAUACCGCAUAAGCCCACGGUGCCGCUUGGCACAGAGGGAAAAGGAGCAAUCCGCUUUGAGAUGGCCUCGCGUCCGAUUAGCUAGUUGGUGGGGUAACGGCCCACCAAGGCGACGAUCGGUAGCCGGGCGGAGAGGUUGAACGGCCACGUUGGGAAUGAGACACGGCCCAGACUCCGACGGGAGGCAGGAGUGGGGAAUAUUGCACGAGGGGGGAAAACCUGAUGCAGCGACGCCGCGUGGAGGAAGAAGGGCUUCGGAUUGUGAACUCCUGUUGUAGGGGAAGAUAAUGACGGUACCCAACAAGGAAGUGACGGCUAACUACGUG
rnacentral:rRNA from 1 species